ensembl:Y_RNA Y_RNA Y RNA
GGCUGGUCUGAAGAUACUGAAUUAUCUUAAUUGAUUGUUCACAGUUCAUUUUGUACUCUUUUUUCUACUCUUUCCCUCCUCACUACUGCACUUGACUAAUUUUAA